rnacentral:misc_RNA from 1 species
CCCGCUGAGUUUCGAUUUGUCGCAUCCGCCCAUCCACUUCGCGGAUAUGGCGCGGGCUAUGGGUGUGCAGGCCGUGCGCGUCGAGAAGCCGUGGGAAAUCAAACAGGCGGUGGAACAGGCGCUGGCGCAUCCUGGCCCGUUCCUCAUUGAUCUGGUCCUGGAAGGCGAUGUCCAUCCCGAGCGCGUUGGCAACACCUGCGGUCAAUAAACCGUGACACAAACAAGGAGCAUUCUGUGAGUGAAGCAUUGAGCGAGAAGAAUAUUAAAAGUUUUGUGGCCGCCUGGUACAAUGCGCUCGACACGCACGCCCCGGUGGAUCAAUGCCU